UGAUGGCCAAUGGAACUGCAUCCUCCACCAAGCCUUGAUAUGUGGUUUCAUUCUCCUCCGAGCUAUAAGCUAGGCCUAUAAAAUAUGCUUAAACGUGGUUGUGUUGUUUCAUAUAUGUAAUUGUGUUACUAUUUUCAGGAAAUAUUAUGUACAAGCUAUUUUUCUAAUAAAAGUGGGAGGAGAUUUUUAUAUAUUACCUGUCUCAAUGCAUAUCUCUCUGUCUUGACAAGAUCCAAAAGUUGGCAUCCCUUAGAUGUUGUAUCCUAUAUCUACAAGAUACAUUGACUAAUUGUGAAUUUAUCUUGUACAUUUAUUAUUUUCUAUCCAACAUUAACCCUAAAUACAAGAGGAUUUUGCUUGGUUAAUUAUCCCCAUUAAUUAUCAUAUCUUGUGGAUUCGUUUUUAUAUCCAAUUCGGUGGUCACGAGAUGCAGCGAACGUGUCUAGGUUCAUCCUCCCAAUAAAUUUCAUAUAUUUUUAGGAGGCAUUGAUUAUUAUUAUAAAUAAAUAUAUUAUAUUUCCUAUUCUCUUUACUAUUAAAUGAUAUCCUCAAUAUUCAGAUAUUCAGUUUCAGUGGAAUUUAUUAGGAGAAGCACAAGCUUCAUGCCAUUGUAUCUAUAUAUAUCGAGCAUUUUCUUGGACCAAACACGGAGAUACCGGUGAAAGGAGAAUUGCAUACUGUUCUCUAUCGCUCUUUGUGAGCUUAGACAAUGGCAAAUAAUAGCAUCCUCCAAGUCUUCAUUGUUUUUCUCAUCGCGCAAGCCUGCUUAGUCAUGAUGAUGGCCACGCCAAUAGUGCAGGCAGCCGGCAGGCUUAUGGGACAUGAUCCACCCUGUUGCCCUAGGGACCCCUGGUGUUGUGGGUUCGGCCGCGUGAUGGCCAAUGGAACUGAAUCCUCCACCAAGCCUUGAUAUGUGGUUUAAUUCUCCUCCAAGCUAUAAGCUAUGUCCUACAAAAUGUGCUUCAACGGUGGUUGUGUUUUCUUUUAUGUAAUUUGUGUUGCUAGUUUCAAGAAAUGUUGUGUAUAAACUAUGUUGCUAAUAAAAGUGGGAGGAGAUUGCUAUCUAUCUUGCUUGCAAUGUGCCGCAAAGAGAUUCAAAAGUGUUUGCUGUAGUGUUUUUAGAGGAUCAUAUCAUCCUAUAUUUUAAUGUUUAAAGACAUGCUACGAUCAUAAAGGAACCAUCGGUAGUUGAUUUCAAUUUAUUACUAAACAAAAAAGUUUAGCCAUCACAUAGAGUAGCAAUUUGUUGCAGACAUGGACCGAAUACCAUAUUAAUUCAUUUGUGCCAUUGCAUCACAGCAUAACUGAUGCAGAACCACGGAGCUAGUGUUAUCGGCACAAGGUUUUUUUUUGGCAGCCCGACGCUGAUGUAUUUGCUGGACCGUGUCAAAAAAUCGUCCAAGAGUCGAGCAACUUAACCUCAUGCAUGUCCCCGCUCUCGGCCCUCGCCAAAGAAAUCUUACUCAACCGAGCUUGUAAAACUACCAUCCGCAAAACAAAAAAAAGAGCUUGUAAAACUACAAAGAGUCGAGCAACUUGCUAAUCUAUGGGAACACGACCGUCCGGCCGAUUGUUUCAUGGCAAUGAGAGGGGGUGGAACUUCACUCAUGUGUCACCAUUCAAAGGAUCUCAUCAGCGCCAGUUCCAUCAGGCUGUCCUCCUGACACGAGUGAGACACCUUGGAGUGAUGAGAACGAGUAGAGCAUGCACAUCAGACCUUGGAGAAAAUGCUCGGGUCGGGCGCGUUCGUUGUGUGUCAAACCUUGGACAGGGGUGCGCGUGUCCUAGUGCUGGUGGUGUGUUUAUUGUGUAAGAUUUGAUCUGGUGGAAGCGUUCCUACUUCCGAUGGGAGCCGCGUUGCGUUUAUUUAUGAGAGACAGGAAAAAACCCUGCCGUGGCAUACAAGCUUACGACGAUCGCUAGGAUACAUCGAUGAGGAGACAGAGAAGGAUACGAGCGAAGUUCAGAUAGAGGGGUUUAGAUUACAACAGGUUUAAAUAGAAUUCUAACACCCUCCCUUAAUCUAAACUACCCUACAUUCAAAUUUCUCUUGAAAUUCCUCAAAUGGCCUUGCUGAAAGAGCUUUAGUAAAUCCAUCUGCCAAUUGAUCCUUGGAUGGAAUGAACCGUAUCUCUAACUUUUUCUCAGCAACUCUUUCUCGUACAAAGUGAAAAUCUAUCUCAAUGUGCUUGGUUCUAGCAUGAAAAACUGGAUUAGCAGACAGAUAAGUAGCACCCAAAUUGUCACACCAUAAACAAGAUGUACGAUGUUGCUUAAUCCCUAGCUCAUGAAGCAAUGAUUCCACCCAAAUAAUUUCAGCAGUUGCAUUUGCAAGAGAUUUAUACUCAGCCUCUGUACUUGACCUUGACACUGUGGCUUGCUUUCUGGCACUCCAAGAAAUAAGAUUUGACCCAAAGAACACUGCAAAUCCUCCAGUCGACUUUCUGUCAUCACUACAUCCUGCCCAGUCAGCAUCAGAAAAAGCACUAACAAGUGUAGAAUUCGAACGCUUGAACUGAAGUCCCAAACUCACAGUGUGCUUGAUAUAUCUUAUAAUUCUUUUGACAGACGUCCAAUGAGUGGAGCUAGGAGCAUGCAAAUAUUGACAAACCUUGUUUACAACAAAUGAUAUGUCUGGCCGUGUCAAGGUUAAAUAUUGUAAAGCUCCAACAUCACUUCUAUACUUUGUACUUUCCUGUUCAUUAAGUGGUUCUCCUUGAUAUGCCGAAAGUUGUUCUGAAGAAGACAAUGGCGUGGGUGAAGGCUUCCAAUCCUUCAUUCCCAUACGAGUUAGAAGCUUAGUAGCAUAUUUUUCCUGAUUUAACAUUAUGCCAUCUUGAGUCUUCUUAACUUCAAUGCCUAAGAAAAAAUGUAAGUCACCUAGAUCCUUCAAUGCAAACUCUGAACCCAAAUCACGCAAGAGAGCAUUAGUAGCAUUUUGUGAUGAGCUUGCAACUAUGAUGUCAUCAACAUAUAUGAGCACAAAAACCACUGUGUUUGCCUUAUUAUAAAUAAAGAGAGAUGUAUCUGCUUUGGAUGGAACAAAUCCAAGAUGCUUCAAUUGUAAACUUAACCUGGAGAACCAUGCUCUAGGUGACUGUUUCAAACCAUAAAGAGCCUUAUCAAGUUUGCAAACAUAAUGAGGUGUUUGUUUAUUCUCAUACCCUGGUGGUUGCCUCAUAUAGACCUCCUCUUUCAGAACACCAUGCAAAAACGCGUUCUGAACAUCUAGCUGUCUAAGACUCCAUCCUUUUGAAACAGCAAUGGCUAGCACAAGUCUUAUAGUAGCAGCUUUAACAACCGGACUAAAUGUAUCCUCGUAGUCAAUACCAUAUCGUUGCUUAAACCCUUUUGCAACUAGACGUGCCUUGUACCUAUCAAUGGAGCCAUCUGCCUUUCUUUUUAUUCUAUAAACCCAUUUGCAAUCAAUAAUAUUUUUACCUCUCUGAUUCGGUACCAAGUGCCAUGUCUUGUUCUUCAUGAGUGCACCAUAUUCUUCAUCCAUAGCUCUUUUCCACCUAGGAUCUCUAAAUGCAUCAUCUAAUUUUGCCGGUUCACCUGAAAUACACAACAUGCCAUAUGAUAUUGCGCCAUCCGUUCUCUUUUUAGGAUUUCUAAUACCUUUUUGAAGUCGAGUCAUGACUCGUGUAGCAUCAGGUUGUGGCCGUGCUGAAUUCUGCGCAGAACAUGAACAGAUUGGCUAGAUAUAGAAGAUCCCGGAGAGCUCUCAGAACUUGCCGCAGACGAUCCAGUGGCCUCUGGUGUGGCGGCCGUUUCUUCUGUGGUCGCAGAGUCGGCAGCCGCAUCUGUCCGAACCCUGGCGCGGUCUGCUGCAUGUGAGAGGAGCGCUCUGCAGCGAUUGGCUGCAUGCGUCGCAGCUGCAUGCGCCCGCGCCUGCACCCCUGACUGGCGGGCUCCUGAUCCGAGGCAGAUACGCGCCCGUGAUCCGAGGAGGAUUCCCGCACGGGCGUAGAAGGCGCCGCCAGAUCGCCCUCGAAUAUUGCGCCUGCUCCCUCUUCUCCUGGCACAUGAAAUAACGGAGCAUUUUGAUCAAUUUGAACACCGUUUUCUGCCCCGUUUUCUUUAGAGACCUGCACACGUACAGAAGAAGCACUGUUUCCAGGAACAUUAUCAUGGUGGUUAGUACAAUUGUUAUAUCCCCCUUGAUCAAAACUAGGAGACAUGGAUGGAAGGAGAAGUAUUUCUUGACGAAGGAGGGCACCGGCAUUGGGAUGAAGAGAUGCAAAAGGAAAUACUGACUCGUCAAACACAACAUCUCUGGAGAUAUAUACUCGCCCCGUAGAGAUGUCAAGACACUUGACUCCUUUGUGCAUAGGGCUAUAGCCUAUGAAAGCACAUUUUUUUAAACGGAACGCAAGUUUGCGUGUGUUAUAAGGCCGAAGGUUGGGCCAACAAGCACAUCCGAAAACUCUAAGAGACUUGUAAUCUGGUGAAAUACCAAAAAGACGAGUAAUGGGAUUCUCAAAGUUGAUGACUUUGCUAGGACGAAUAUUUAUGAGAUAUGUGGCAGUAAGAAAAGCUUCAUUCCAAAAUUUUAGAGGCAUGGAGGCGUUUGCUAGCAAUGCUAGUCCAACUUCAACAAUAUGGCGGUGCUUGCGUUCAGCAGACCCAUUUUCUUGGUGAGCAUGGGGACAUGAGACAUGAUGAGAAAUUUCAAUAUUUUGAAAGAAAGAAUUUAGUUUCUCAUACUCACCACCCUAGUCGGUUUGCAUGGCGAGAAUUUUGGAAUUCAAUUGUCGUUCAACAAGGUUCUGAAAAUUGCUAAAGACUUGAAAAACAUCGGAUUGUUUCUUUAGCAAAUAAAUCCAGGUAAACUUACUAUAAUCAUCAAUAAAGCUCACAUAGUAUGAAAAUCUUCCAACUGAGGUAGGGGCUGGUCCCCAUACAUCUGAGAAAACAAGUUGCAAUGGAGCAGUGGAAAUACUAGUAGAGAUAGGAUAGGGUAACUGAUGACUCUUAGCUUGUUGACAAGCAUCACAAACUGACUCAGAACUAGGCUCAUAAGAGAGCUUAUUUUUACUAAGGACAUGCUGAACUAUAACUGAAGAAGGAUGACCCAAACGACUAUGCCACUUUGCCGAAGAUGGUUUGGUGACACUCCAAGCUUGUUUAUUUGACCAUGAUGAAGAUGAUGAUAUGAGUGGAUAUAAGCCUCCCUCACACUUUCCUCUAAGGAUGAUUCUCCUCGUUGCCAAGUCCUUGACCACAAAAGAGUAAGGGUAAAAAGUAAUGAGAACAUUAUUGUCGAGGGUAAAGCGAUGAACAGAGACAAGAUUCUUGGAUGUAUCAGGGACAUGUAGAACAUUGUUUAGAUGCAAGUCUUUUAAGGGGGUUUUAACAAUUGAAUUUCCAACAUGGGUAAUGUCCAUACCUGAACCACUUGCCGUGUGCACUUGGUCACCUCCGUGGUAUCUUUCCCUCAUCGUCAACUUGUCAAGCUCCCCUGUAAUGUGCUUCGUAGCGCCAGAGUCUGCGUACCAGUUGGUGUCAAUCCCGUAGGAGUUUGUGACAAUAUUGGCCUUCUUUUCUUCGUGAUCCUCAUCAUACCGAUGCCAGCAGGUCCUUGCGCCGCCGGGGUGAUGCUUGUAGCAGAUCUGGCAUUCGGGAUAAUCCCAUUCUUGCUGUUGUGGCUGCUGUAGUUGUUGUCGUGGGUGUUGCUGAUGGCCGCCGUAGCCGCCACCGCGAGCAGAAGAAUAGGAGGGGCGGUCACCGUGAUCACCACGGCCACGCCCCCUGUUUCCUCGCCCACGGCCACCUCUUGGUCUGUACUGCCCACGCCCUUUGUAAAUAGCAUUGGCAAAGGAGCGAAAGCCGCCUGGUCCAUCUCCUAGCAUCUCCAUCCUCUGGUCGAAGGCAGAGAUCUGCGAGAAGAGAUCAUCAACCGUAAUAGAACUCUUGAUGGCGUCAACUGCUGCUACAAUUGGAUCAUAAUCCGAUCGAGUCCAGCCAGGAUGUAAUCCACCAUCUCUCCAUCGGUUACUGGACGACCCGCUGCAGCGAGUUCAUCACCGAGGCUCUUCAUCUUGGCGAUGAACGCAUUACUGGACAUGUUGCCCUUCUUGGUGUUGGAGAUUGCAAUCCUCAGAUUUGUUAUCCGAGACUGAGACUGCACAGCGAACAAGGUAGUAAGGGCAAUCCAAAGAUCAUGGGUAUUCUCCUUACCGAUGACUUGUGCGAGAAUCUCCGGGGUCAGCGAAUUGAGCAAGUAGCUUAGGACCUGCUGGUCCUUUGACAGCCACGGACCAUAUAGAGGAUUAGAUUCUAUGGCAGUGGUCUUGUCCGCCUUGGUGACUUCUACCAUCUUCGGUGGUGCGGCGUCGCUGCCAUCAAGGAGGCCGGUCACUUGCGCUCCACGCAAUGCCGGCAUUACUUGUGCCUUCCACAGGAGGUAAUUCCCCCUUGCAAGCUUUUCUGUUGGAGGUGUGCCGAGGUUGAGGAUGACGGCGCUUGAGCUUGCGGCCAUGGCGAAGAUAGGGUUUCUGGUUUCUGUGUUGCUAGAUAGAAGGGAAGAGGCUAGCUCUGAUACCAUGUAAGAUUUGAUCUGGUGGAAGCGUUCCUACUCCCGAUGGAAGCCGCGUUGCGUUUAUUUAUGAGAGACAGGAAAAACCCCUGCCGUGGCAUACAAGCUUACGACGAUCGCUAGGAUACAUCGAUGAGGAGACAGAGAAGGAUACGAGAGAAGUUCAGAUAGAGGGGUUUAGAUUACAACAGGUUUAAACAGAAUUCUAACAUAUUGAGGUUCCUGGUCAAGCUCUGGUUUACUUUCCUCGUGCAUAGUCGUCGGUGUUGUUUGAGAUGGGCGCGGUGUGAUGCAUAGGAAUCUUCGGGUGUAGUUUAAAGCCUCCGAUACUGCACAACCUUCAGAUAAGGCCUCCAUUGCCAGAGGAUCAGCAGCAUGCUCAUACCAUCUCCCCUGUGCUUGAAUCAAUCUCCCUGCAUGGUCAUGUACAUAUAUACAUGUAGGCCCUGACAUACGGAAGGUUGCACCAAUCCACUACUCUCUCCACGCCACCUUAUUAUUGCUCUAAAAUCAUGGAAGCAACUUUUUGUGACCACUAACACCUAAACCAGAUUAAUAAGCCAUGAACUCGAAUGUAGAGCUGGAACUUGGUCGUUGUUCAGUCUUCAACUCCAACCAAAACAACUUUGCCCAGGUGCAUUCAAAGAAGGCAUGUGUGCCAUAGUUUCCUUCCUCUACUCCGCACGGUUCGUAGAACUCAAUCCACUCAACGUAUCUAUCUCGUAGGAUCGUCCGGCAUAGAACAUAUUUGUGGAUCACCCUCAACGAGAAGUUACAAGCUUUCGGUAGCACCGCUAGCUUGCAGAGCCAUUAUCCAGCAUUUGUUCACCCUCUCCCCUGAAGCUUGAGGUCCUACCAUUAUCCACACUUCUUGCCAUGCCUCCAACGUUCUGUACGCAGAUCGUACGGUGAACUUUCCAAAUUUCUUGAGAUCCCAAGCCCACCUAACCUCACAAAAAUUCUCAACUGGCAUCUGCAUAUAGCAUCCACAUCAGGUGCAGCAAAAUUCGCCUCAAUCACCUCCAUGAUCAACAGUUCAAGUGCUCUGAGUUCAUGUACAGCUUAAAAUCUUCCCAAACUCUGAUUGAAGCUCCAUCGCCCACGUAUGCGACGACUUCGUUUCUUCGCGGUUUGUCUGCAGUAUGUGGAGGUGAUAAGCCAUGUCCUGGAGACCGUAGACCACAUCCGGACGAAGACGUCUUGAUCGACGUCUUGCGACGCAAAGAAAUCAUGGACAUCGAGGCCUGUAGCGAUCCACGUGACACGGAAACCCACAUAGACGGCAGCCACAUCCUCAAGGUGGAGAGAGACCUAUCACCUUUGAUGAUACGGAGGAAACCUCUCACCGUGCUAUGCCACCCAAGACAAGCACAUCCCUAAUUCGACGUGUUAAUAGUUCAUGUUGGAUGUAUGGCAUCUCUGAAUCAGGCUUGUCGAUGGCAAUUCUUCUUCUUUGGUGUGCACUAGAGGCUGGGGCGCCACCUAGUGGCGCCUCCUAAGGUGUGCCUGUGCGCACUUAUCUUGUUUGUGCACAUUCACCUGUCUGCCUAAGUUUUAGUUUAGUUGGGGCGGUGCUAGGUGAAAGGCGCCCCUUUCUAUUUGUUGUUUGCAAUUUAUGCCCAACUGCAAAGAAGCAAUGCUAGCCUGCUCUCAACAUAUUAUUAUAACAAAGCUUAAUCGCCUCAGUCAAAAGUGUUAAUUUGGUACAAGAAAAAGAGCGGACAGAAAAAUCCCCGCCAAAGCCACGAAGAUUAAAAUACGGUGCUAGCUACUGGAAAAAAUUGAGGUAAAUGAUAUAGCUACAACAAGUAAAGAUCUUCUAGAAUAGCCUUCCGUAAGACUACUUGACUACUUGUAGACUUUCAAUUAAGAAUACUUGACUACUUAUUGACUGGUUUUUUUACUGUCAAAUGUAGGAGACAGUAACAUUUGCACCCUUUUGUAAAGGGUUACCUCCUUCAGGAGUUUUACAAUAGUUCCACCAACUGGAUCAUUUUUGCAUUUUUGUCAAUCCCAGCAAUCUUCAUAGCUAGUCAAUUGAUUACUCCCAUGUGACCAUCCAUCCAUAAGAGACAGACAUGCAAUUGGAAAGCUUUAUGAAAAAGGUCAAACUCACAAAAUUGAAAACACACUGCAUUAUCAGGAGAUAUAUCAUCUAACCAAGCAGCAUUGGGGAAAUCACCACCCCAAAUAUCAUUUUUCCAACAUCUACCCACUGCCCAUGAUGCUUACCUGUUUAGAGAAGAAGUCUCAAGUAAUGCUUAUCUGUUGUGGUACUAAACAAGAAGAUGAUAAAAAAUAGGAAGAGAUUGUAGGUUGUGGUACUAAACAAGAAGAUGAUAAAAAAUAGGAAGAGAUCGUAGGUUGGUACCCAAUGCAUCAUUAUAAAGCUUUACUAAACAACGGGAACAAUUCCUAGGAACAAUGUACAGAGCUAGGGACAAUGAAAAAACCUCACGCACAAGAGUAAAUUAAACAUAAGCACAACACGCUUGAAAUAGACAUAUACUAAUUUGUCAAAGUCGAAAUAUCUAUUGUUUUCGUCCAAUACUACCAACAAGCUAAGCUAGAUGGGGCUGUAUUGGAACACCAUGAAGCAUCAAAUGUACAGUGUCAAGUAAUACACACACAUUGCCAGGUUCAACAACUAACCAAAAACACAGUAGUAAUCAACACAUACAUCUUCUCUUACAAAACAUGGUAAAGCAAUUGACGGGACUUGAGAAUUCAAUCAUCUCUGUACACGGGUGGGAAGAGUCAACUUGUGCCCAAACAUGAAGGGUUGUUUAAGAAUAUCAUUUUCAUCACAACGUAUCAUACACACACACACAGUAAGUGACAAACAUUAUCUUCCAGGAGAGUGCAGCAAGGCAAGGGAGCGAAGCCCGACGGACCUAUUUGGAACAAGGAUUGUGAUGACCUCUGCAAGAUCGACGCCGUCCGGCAGCUUCAGCUCCCUCAUCACCUGCACAGUCAAACACAUACUCGUUUGUGCAGAUCCACUUGCCAGAAUUGCAAUAUCUCAUCCUUCUGACCUCCUCAGCCUCAUAUUUCCUGCUACCAUGUGUACACCCAGAGAAGGCAAGUAUGUCCAUCUCAUACCGCAAGUGGAGAACCACAAAAGGGUCCAUUCCGACGAAGAAUUUGAACCAGACGCCUGCCCAACUCUUCUAUUUCAGGGGUAAAUCCAAGUGCAUGAAAACUGAAAUGGCACCUCGGUUUCUGAAUCUCCGUGGGUAGCCCAUUAUUUUCAAGCCGUGCACGUGUUUUAUUCGUAUGAAGGACCAUGUACUUCUUUAUCAUUGGUAAAAUAUGUUUUCCCAUAAAUUACUACUUACAAUAUUUAUUUGGGUACGCAUAUGGUUUAGAUACAUCACGAGAAAUGGAGAGAUGCAAAGAAACCUGAUUAUGGUAAUAGGAUGUAUCAGACCAACUAAAGGGUGAAAAGGAGCAAAGAUAUCCCUAUUCAACUCUCCUUUUCAGCCUUGGAGGCAGCUCUUCCAGUAUCAGGACCUCAUCUCUCAAUGAUGCUAUGAAGUAGUCUACAUCAAAUAUAUCUCGAAAAUCACUGUAGGGAAAGGAAGAGAAAGGGGUAAGACAAAGGCAGUCCUUAACUGAAAUGUUAAGAAUUGCAUUGACUGUAGAAAGAAAUGCUAAACUGGGCAACCCAAAAUGAAGUUUUAUCCAUGUACGGCACGAUGAUUGUGACAUUCCAGUAUCUUGCAACCAUCACCAUGUCGCAUACUGAUUUAACAGUGAACCUUUCAUGGUUCAGUUUUUUAGAUCAAAUGGCAGCACCGACUGCAACAGGGUUAGAAUUAGUAUUCAACUACACAUGAAACACACACAAGUUAAUCGAGAUAUUGAUAUGAACUGUUCACAUCAAAUACAGCAUGGUUGCCUAAGCUCUAAGGCAGCCAGGUUGAUGGCGCCCUUGCUGGCUACAUCGAUGGAUCCGGAGGCCUGCUAUGUAUUUUGUGACUAAGAAUCCUCGUUUCCAGCAUUCAACAACCCGAGAAAACUAUCAUCCAUGUAGAACAAAGCUAUACAAGCAACAAUUCCUCCUCAUGUUCAUUGACAGAAUGUAUCUGUCUACAAGAAGGAAUGCACAUACUUCCUAGAAGGUGUACAUAUAAAAGGAUUUUCAAUAGAAAAAUCUUUCACAAAACACACUCGAUCCAUGAUAAUUCAGGCCAUGGCAGCUAAUUUCCGAUUUAAGAGUUAAUUGUAAAAUUUCUGAGUUUGAAGUGUUGAGGAACAAUUUUUAAAAUAAAAAUAUAAAAGAAAUUAGCACUGUAUACAUUGCAAUUUCUUUGAAUAAACGCUAUCUCACACAACUCUUAAGAAUGCUAUUUAAACCCAAUGCCUCAUAGCAGACCCCAAAAGUAACAGUUCAGAUAAUGUACUAAACCAAAAUAUAUUCAGAUUCAAGUCUAUGAAAAUGAAGAUUAAAUUAUACCUGCAUGUUUAUAGCUGGAAAUUAGGUGACAUUGGUUCAAAUACAUAACAUUGCUGAUUGGUCUGUAAUUAUCUAUCAGAAGAGUUAGAUUAGCCAAUUUGAAGUAAGCAUCCAAGACAAUAUCCUCUGGAUAAACAUGUGUUGCACUACUUUCUGUUGCAAGAUAAGUAGGUUCUUGCACCUCCUUCACGCAAAAUGUAUUAUGUGAUUCUUUGGCAUGUGAGUUAGAUCACGGUAGAGUAGAUAGAGAUGCUGGGCACAUAGCAUAUUCCACAUAUGCCAGUCUGAGAACUAUGCAAGCCCUCUUGCAUUCAUCCAAGAAAACAAGUGCACAUACUUAUUUUUGCAAUUUUGCAACAAAUUGUUUUUAUGAAAGGAUAACCGGAUACUGGGAUUAGCACUAUAACAUUACGGCUAUCAUUCUACAAGUAAUUUAAUUUCCCUUGGGGUAAUUGCAUAGCUACGUAACAAUUAGUGAAGCGCAAUAUCAUGUAUCUACGGGUGCUAGGCUAUCCCAUGCCCAACCACUCACAGUAAUCCUCGCUCGAAAGCACUGAAUCGAACAACCCAAACAAAUCAACACAUCUGGAGAUCGACAGGGGGAGGAAGGGGGAGCAAGCGGUUGUACAUACCCUGCCCUUGGGUAGGAUGAGCUGCAGGCGGCGGGGGCAGUGAUGACCUGGGCGACCUCGGCCAGCAGCAGCGACCUGCCAUUUGGGCAAGGUCGACAACGAGGAUGCGGGCACCGGGAACGACCUCCUCUGGGCGUGGCUGCUCCCCCUCCUCGCCUCCAAACGUAACUUGACCAGCUGCCCGGGCGGGCUAGCCCCCUUUUGCGGCGAGGCCGACGUCAGCGAGGGGACGUGGCUGCGCACGCCCAUGGAGACGCCUCCCUGCGCGUGGAGCUCGUUAGGCGGCGCUGCUCAAAAUACCGCCGGCACGACCAUCUCCAUCUCGAGCCUCCUGCGACUUCCUCAGACGGGAGCUCGCGGCGCCGCCAGCCUCGCGCUAGCACCACCAUCGCCGGCUCUCAAUUUGCGGCCAUCGAAGGACGAGACCAGAGGGGAGAAGGCGAGGGAUGGUGGGUGGAGGCGGCACACAUGGCAAGGAGGAGACGAGUGUGGCGGAAGAGGCGGCGGCUGGUGGGAGGAGGCGACAAGAGAGAGAAGGGAAUUGGAGAAGGAGGCGGAACCCUAGCCGCCACUCGAGGAGAAGACGAGAAAGAGAUUUUUUUUUCGAAGAUGAGAGAGAGGUGGGACGUAUUUACCUUGGGGAGGUGUUAUCCUGGGGUAGUCUGCGACGGUAAAAUCACCAACGUGGCAUAGCUCAGAUAGCUCCUUUGAUGCACACCUUAUUGUUUUGGAUGUGCCUAGGGGGUAGCUUUUGAACGUGAAUCUAAUAGCAUUGAUGAAUAAAUAUUGUAAGCUGGUGGUGAAUAAAAUUUUCAGGAGGACGGGAGUUUAGUUUUUGCCUUGUUGUCUAAUAUAAUUGGUCAGACUGUUAUUGCUUUCUAAUUUGAGGUGCCGCUUGGCUGAUAGAUGUCGUAAUUUUGUUUUAGAAGCAAAAUAUAACUGAUCGGGUUUGACCAUUUGAGUAUCAGGUUGCUAAAAGGGGAAGACCCUCACAAAUCAGCAUAAUUUCAGAGGAAAAAAAUAAGUUCGCUUUCUGUGUUUGUUUUAUCACAUCUGGCACUCCCUCUGUUCACAAAUAUGUUCCGUGUAUUUCAAUAUGAACUACAAUAAUACGAUGAACUUCACUGCACAUAAAGGAUGGCACCAUAUAAUGAGAACAGAUUCGGAUUACAAUAUCCAGAUAACAUGUCGCUUCUUUACGGUAACGAGGACGACGAAUCACUCAGCUUAUAAGGCAAGCAGCAGUCCACACUUCUAUUACUCCCUCCGACUCAAAUUAAUUGACGCACAUUUGGUACAACUGUAGUACUCUCUCCGUAAAAAAUUAUAGGUGCGCUUAGGUCACAAACGCUCUUAUAUUUCUUUACGGAGGGAGUACAAAGUUGUACCAAGUCUGCGCCAAUUAAUUCGGAUCAGCGGGAGUAGUAGUUUUACACUCUACAUUGGGGUGAAUUUCUUGAAGGAGAACACCUUUUAUUGGCCAAAGGUCUAGAAACUGAACUUUUCUUUAAGAGAAAUGCACCCUGUUGAAACAAGUCAGGCUACAAGAAGGGCAGUUCCUUCACAUUCAACCAGUAAGAAAUUUACUCUGAUAACACACAGUACAUAGGCUUCAAACAUUGGGCUAGAUAAGAUAACUAGCUACUAACUCCAAGGAUAUCAGCAAACAUCUCUUUCCAUCCAUCCCAAUCCAGAUACAUCCAAGUGGCAAGCAUUGUAGGCAGUCCAUAUACCAGGCAAUUAUUGAAUCUUUCUCUCCAACGACAGAAGCGCCUAGAGAGGAGAUUACCAAAAAAAAAA
rnacentral:lncRNA from 1 species